GCCAGGCGAGGUGGCGGGCGCCUGUAGUCCCGGCUACUCGGGAGGCUGAGGCGGGAGAAUGGUGUGAACCCGGGAGGCGGAGCUUGCAGUGAGCUGAGACCCGGCCACUGCACUCCAGCCUGGGGACAGAGCGAGACUCGGUCUCGAAAAAAAAAAAACAAAAAACAAGAAAACGGAGUUUUGCUCUUGUUGCCCAGGCUGGAGUGCAAUGGAGUGAUCUCAGCUCACCACAACCUUCGCCUCCCGGGUUCAAGCAAUUCUCCUGUCUCAG
rnacentral:SRP_RNA from 1 species